UCUAUUUUUUUUUUUUUUUUUUAAAUCGUUUAUAAAAUAUCAGUUACCUUUGACAAUUUGAGUAUUUUUAGUUCAGUGUGUAAUUGGUUUCAAAUUGGAAGAAAUGAAGAAUUUACAUAUUACGGGAUCAUCGUAUAAUCGAUGCAUCUUUCUUUUGGUUUUCGUCAUUUACGAUCCUCUUCGUUGAUUAAAACGGCAACGAGGAUGAAACGUAAAAAUUAGAGAAACUCUAUCUUCCGACAAUUUCUCAAACUUUCCAUCUCUCUCAUCUAUCGAACACCUUAUUCUCUUUCAUAAGAUAUUUCCUAUAGAAAUAAAGAACUAUAAUAUUUAUGAGACGAUCUGGAAUCUGCGUGCGAGACGUGCUUUCUUUCGAAACUGAAUUCAUUAAAUUUCGUGCUGUCGUCGACUGGUGCACGGCAGAUUAAAGAAGGAGAAAUUUUCUGUAACACACGUGAAUUAAAUGCUAACAACGUUAUCGAACGUAAUUCUUUCGAAUGUGGAUAAUGGAUCGUAAAAAUUGUUGGCAGUUUUAAAUUUAGUAUGUCAACAGGCUUAUGUAAAUGUUAAGACAAUUCAACAAGUUGGUUGGUGAAAUCCAAGGCUGAUGAUUGUUCAUCAAACAAUGAACGAAAAGAGGAAGUUGGAAGAAUGCCAUUAACGAUAAUUACUUGUAAAUUAACUAAUCCACGACCAACAGCAAGAAAAAUAGCGCCUCGGACGAUGGUAAGCCAUUUUAUUAUUCGUCGUUUGAUAUUUUAAUAUAAUUAAAAGAAAGGAACUUAGGUGGGAAAUUAUUUUAUCCAUUGAACAUCGUAACUCUAUACUUUGUACGUUUUACACAUUUUUUCAUAUUACGUGGAUUCCGUGAAUUUUUGCACUAUCAGAUUUCCUGCAGACGCGUGAAAAUUUGUAAUCCCAUGGUAAUAAGUGAAGAAAGUGAAAAAUAGAAGGAAAAUGGAAAAAGGAAUAGAGAGGCAAGUGAAAGGAUUAGAGUUACUUAUUAGAUCACAUAUUAGAAAGAGAAAAGCGUAAAAAAUAAGGAAAAGAAUUAAAAAAAUAAGGUAAA